GAUGAACGCUAGCGGCAGGCUUAACACAUGCAAGUCGAGGGGUAACAGGGAUUAGUUUACUAAUUUGCUGACGACCGGCGCACGGGUGAGUAACGCGUAUACAAUUUGCCUUUUACAGGAGGAUAGCCCAGAGAAAUUUGGAUUAAUACUCCAUGGUAUUACGGAAUCGCAUGGUUUUGUAAUUAAAGUUUCGGCGGUAGAAGAUGAGUAUGCGUCCUAUUAGCUAGUUGGUAAGGUAACGGCUUACCAAGGCGACGAUAGGUAGGGGUCCUGAGAGGGAGAUCCCCCACACUGGUACUGAGACACGGACCAGACUCCUACGGGAGGCAGCAGUGAGGAAUAUUGGUCAAUGGAGGCAACUCUGAACCAGCCAUGCCGCGUGCAGGAAGACUGCCCUAUGGGUUGUAAACUGCUUUUAUACAGGAAGAAACUUAUCCACGUGUGGAUAACUGACGGUACUGUACGAAUAAGGACCGGCUAACUCCG
rnacentral:rRNA from 1 species